UAGGCAGGAAGCAGUGAAAUAGCAGGAAGCAGCAAUUAUUAUGCGUUUAAUGAAUCUUAGAGUGCAUAAUCUUAAUAAAUAGGUCACAGAACUGCUCAUUCAUGAAUGGAUUUACCCAGACAUAAACUAUGCUUAAAGUGACAACAACUCAAAAAACAAGGACAAUCAAAACAGAGCAGCGCCAUUGCAGGAAAGAGGGACAAACACAGAGGGGUUGCUGCUGGUUCCAGACUUGCUCAAUGUAAUCCCACUCAUGAGGGGAAAGUGCCACCAGAUAAGAACCCAGAUGCCUAAUCCAGACCCUGCCACCGGACCCAAACAUGCUGUGAGCAAGCAAAUGCCUGACAACAUUGCGGAGGCACAAAAUGGAACCCAAUCACCUCACAGAGUGGAUGUUCACUUUAUUUUUCACUCUUUCUCCUACCUUUACCCAAUAUUUUCUAUAUGAAAACUAGUGUGUCGUACCUAAGCACUAUUAUUUAAAAAUUUAUUAAAAAUGAAAAAUCGUUGUUGCUUUCUGAUCAGUUCUGAUGACAUUGCCCACUUAUUUGGUGACAUAGACCAAACAAUCUCCAGCCACACCGCUUCUUUUUUGUUUAGGUCCCUGUAUAAAUUACUAUGCUUUUUUGUUUCAUGUAUUAGCCUGUCUUUGUCCAUGUACAUGAUGUCUCUUGAGUUCAAAUGCAUUUACACCAAUAACAACACUUUGGAGAUGGGGUACACCAGUGAAACAUCAUUGAAAUCAAUAAAGCAAGUGAUGAAACUGAGCUGAA